rnacentral:rRNA from 1 species
AUUAAACGCUGGCGGCAUGCCUUACACAUGCAAGUCGAACGGCAGCACGGGGCAACCUGGUGGCGAGUGGCGAACGGGUGAGUAAAGCAUCGGAACGUGCCCUGGAGUGGGGGAUAACGUAGCGAAAGUUACGCUAAUACCGCAUAUUCUGUGAGCAGGAAAGCAGGGGAUCGCAAGACCUUGCGCUCUGGGAGCGGCCGAUGUCGGAUUAGCUAGUUGGUGGGGUAAAGGCCUACCAAGGCGACGAUCCGUAGCGGGUCUGAGAGGAUGAUCCGCCACACUGGGACUGAGACACGGCCCAGACUCCUACGGGAGGCAGCAGUGGGGAAUUUUGGACAAUGGGCGGAAGCCUGAUCCAGCCAUGCCGCGUGAGUGAAGAAGGCCUGGUGUAAG